rnacentral:rRNA from 1 species
GACGAACGCUGGCGGCGUGCUUAACACAUGCAAGUCGAACGAAGUGGCGAACGGGUGAGUAACGUGUAAUCAACCUGCCCUUCCGAGGGGGACAACAGUUGGAAACGUCUGCUAAUACCGCAUCCUGAUGGAGGGGUUUGCGUGUGUUUAGCUAGUUGGAGGGGUAACGGCCCACCAAGGCGAUGAACAGUAGCCGGUCUGAGAGGAUGAUCGGCCAAAGUGGGACUGGGAAACGUCCCAGGUGCUAACGGGAAGCAGCAGUGAGGAAUGUUCCGAGAGGGACGUAAGUCUAGCGGAGCAACGCAGCGUGAGUGAUGACGGCCCUCGGGUUGGAAAGCUCUGGUAAGCGGGACACGGUACCAGAAUAGAAAGCCACGGCAAACUACGUGCCAGCAGCCGCGGUAAUUC